AAUAAACGCUGGCGGCGUGCCUAACACAUGCAAGUCGAGCGAGAAAGCUCCUUCGGGAGUUAGUAAAGCGGCGAACGGGUGAGCAACACGUGAGAAUCUACCCUUUAGUGAAGAAUACCCUCGAGAAAUCGAGGCUAAUACUGCAUACGUCCCUUCGGGGAGAAAGAUGGCCUCUUUGCUAUCGCUAAAGGAUGAGCUUGCGUACUAUUAGCUAGUUGGCGGGGUAAAGGCCCACCAAGGCAAUGAUGGUUAACCGGCCUGAGAGGGUGUACGGUCACACUGGAACUUAGACACGGUCCAGACUCCUACGGGAGGCAGCAGUGAGGAAUCUUGCGCAAUGGGCGAAAGCCUGACGCAGCGACGCCGCGUGGAGGAUGACGGUUUUCGGAUUGUAAACUCCUGUUAAGCGGGAAGAAAGCCUUGUUUCUAAUACAAGCAAGGUAUGACGGUACCGCUAGAGAAAGCACCGGCUAACUUCGUGCCAGCAGCCGCGGUAAGGAGAGACGU
rnacentral:rRNA from 1 species